rnacentral:rRNA from 1 species
UACAGAGGUCUCAAGCGUUGUUCGGAUUCAUUGGGCGUAAAGGGUGUGUAGGUGGCGCCGUAAGUCGGGUGUGAAAUUUCGGAGCUUAACUCCGAAACUGCAUUCGAUACUGCGGUGCUUGAGGACUGGAGAGGAGACUGGAAUUCAUGGUGUAGCAGUGAAAUGCGUAGAGAUCAUGAGGAAGACCAGUGGCGAAGGCGGCCUCCUGGACCCAGACUGACACUGAGGCACGAAAGCGUGGGGAGCAAACAGG